GAUGAAGAACGUAGCGAAAGGCGAUAAGUAGUGUGAAUUACAGAAUUCAGUGAAUCAUCGAAUCUUUGAACGCACAUUGCGCCCCUUGGUAUCCCGAGGGGCAUGCCUGUUCGAGCGUCAUUUCACCACUCAAGCCUGGCUUGGUGUUGGGCGACGUCCUCUUUGGGGACGCGCCUCGAAACGCUCGGCGGCGUGGCACCGGCUUUAAGCGUAGCAGAAUCUUUCGCUUUGGAAGUCGGGGCCCCGUCUGCCGGAAGACCUGCUCGCAAGGUUGACCUCGGAUCAGGCAGGGAUACCCGCUGAACUUAAGCAUAUCAAUAAGCGGAGGA
rnacentral:misc_RNA from 1 species